UCUACUGUCAAAACGAUAUCGUCUGAUCUCACACAAGCGAUAUCUUCUGUGGAACACAGUUUUGGAUGAUAAAUCUUAUGUCCAGGGUCUGAUUGUAUCAAACCUUAUUCACUAAUGGAUGCAUUAAACUCUUUAGGUUCAAUAACAUCUAAUGGGCUGUCUUGAAACUUAUCAUUACCUGAUGAAUUAAGUGUAAAAUGUGUCAUCAGAUUUGGGUAAUCCCGUAUGAUGUUCUCACAAAUCUUUUUUAGCAACUAAGCACUUUUCCUUCCUGAAAUCGGUGAAAGUUUUUAUGAACUCAGGUACUUUAAAUGUUUUCAGGUACAAAGCCCAAUGUUCUUUUAUUAGAUACCAGCAAAUGCAAGGGAUUGGAAGACAUUAUUAGGCAUGUUAAUGUGUGAAUGGUGUUAUUAAGAGUUUGAUAUGACCAGGUUUAAUGGCACAUGCAUUAAUUUAGGCUAAAUGAUAAGUAAUGGGUCAUUUAAGUUGGAAACAACUGGGUCUGGUUGUUAGGCCUGAAAACAUCAUUCAGUCUUUUUGGCAGACUCGUACAAUGCAGAGGGUGUUCUUACUUUCAGGAGGGGUGGCCUAGUGGUUAAAGCGUUGGCUUGUCACGCCGAGAUACCGGUUCGAUUCCCCACAUGGGCACAAUGUGUGAAGCCCAUUUCUGGUGUCCCCGCCCGUGAUAUUGCUGGAAUAUUGCUAAAAGCGGCGUAAAACUAAAACUCAGUCAGUCAGUCAGUCAGUCUUACUUUCAGGUAGCUUGUCAAUGUAAUGACAGAUUAAGUAGUGGUAAGCAUACUCAGGGCACUAAUGAGUUGUCAGUGGCAUUAAUUAUCGUUGCACUUAUUUAUGUGUUAGAUGCGUGAUACGUCGGAACUGACAGUGUAUGGUUCAUGGUAGUUCCAGGCAAUGGCAUUAAUAUACUCAUGGAAACAAAUAAGGGAACACAUGAAAGUACAAGUGUUCCUUGAUUCUUUUCCAGGUUUCUUCACAAGGUAUGUACUGCACUGUGAGUGAAAUUCUGGAAACAAAGGAACACUUGUACUUUCAUGUGUUCCCUUAUUUGUUUCUAUGAGUAUAUGUGCACAGGUGGCCCAGUUGUGUUGAGGUGCCAGAAUUGUCUGUGGAGAGUUAGUCCUUUGGGCUUGAAUCCCUGAUCACACUGAUUAUGUUUCUAGGUUUGUCAACACAACACCUGCUCUAAUCAUGAUAACAGUUUUCACAAAAAGAUUUUGAAUGAUAUAUACUAUGAUCCUGAAUUUGUUGUCAAUUUAAUCUAGUCUGUUAGGUUUACCUUAUGCUUCAGAUGACACUGCUUGAUUUUUUCAAUUCUCUUAAAUAGUUUUGCUUGUCAAACAUGUUAAAGGCAUUAUACCAAUUCAACUUACAUGAUUAGCAUUUACAGUCCACUACUGACAACGUUUGUAACUCAAGUGCAAUUUGGUUUAGCAUUAUUUCAUGUCUCAUGUUGAUUACUUUACCUCUGUAUUAUAUUAUUGCAAUUAAUGAGAGGAAAUCCAAAUGUGCUUCCGCAGUAGUAUCCGUCUAGAACAACAUUGUACUGAAAAUGUGGUCAGGUAAGGUCCAAAACAAAACUGUGUAUUUAACUGUAAACAGAAGCCCCUGAGUCAGCUCUUUUUUCAUACGACACUUUGGCUUUGUCCCCAUCCCAAUAUUGUCUUGAUUUUAUGCAAGAAGAGUAAAUUUUAUUAGCUCCACUAUAGAUAAAAUACUGUCAUUAUCUUAAUUUGAAAGCAAGCUUCUUGGACAUUCUGCAGAUUUCUGUUUUUAAAAGAAAAAGUCGACAUCCCAACCUUCCUUUCCUACGUUUUGUUUGCUGAAAUAGGAAACCCAUAUUUCUUUUGCCUAAUUUAUUGCUAUUGUUAUGGUAUUUGUGAUUGUUAUUUAUGAAACCUGUAGUACCUAGAUAUUAUGCACCCAUAAAGAUCUGGGUUAUUGUUGGUUCUCAGCAACCAAUGCUUGUCAUAAGAGGCGACCAACAGGAUCAGGUGGUUAGACUCACUGCCUGGUUGAUGUAUGUCAUCGAAUCCCACUAGCAGUUGCCAGGAAUAUAGUACUUUACAGUUGCCAAGUUACCAAGUUGUUAUGAUUGGUAAUUACAGUUCAGAUGCUAUUCGUGAACACUGAAUUAUAGAUGUUUCACAUUGAAUGCUUACCUAAUUUCAUUCAAGUCAGAUUCGAUGUGUGUCUGUGUAAAGAUAUGUUAGAUCUAGGGCAGAAUGACAGAUAAUCACCAUGGAGACUUCGAAACUGUUUAUGUGAGUGGUCAGAGUAUUCAAAGCUGCACAUCUGAUAUUUGUUGUUUCAAAAAGGUUUUUCGGCAGCAGGUUUGAAAGAAGAAUGAUAUAAAAAUUGUACAUAAUUUCAUUUAUGCUGCCAUGGUAUCUUCACAAUGUUGUUUUCUUUACUUGUUAUUUGUUCGAACCAAAAUUUCCAAACUGUGGACAAUAACUCGACUGACAACAGUAAACUGAGGAAAUACUGACAUCUGAUUGGCUGAAAAACCCUGCAGGUUUCAUUUUGAUUACAUGGUCAAAUUGCUCAAUCUUCACCUACUGGCACCUCCUUUAAAGGGUACUUCAGAUCCUGUCAGAAAGAGGUAUAGGUUCUGACUUUGAUGAGACUGAAUGGCUUAAUAUUGCGGUUUUCAUCUGUUCAGAGAUACAAAAUUCUCUGUAUCAUAUCAAACAUCUUAUGUAAGACAUUGUUCCUUGUACACUCGGAUCAUGGUUCAUCCCUUCCAUGGAACAUUUAGUGUGUGAUACCAUGCUAAGUUUCAAUUUGUAUAUUUAUACCAUCACAAGGCUGCUGUAUAUAUAGAAAUACAUUCUCAUUAUUCACACAGACAAAAAUCUCAAUCUUCCAUGUCAUGUCAGUGGUCAUUCACUAGAGCAAGGUACCACAAUAGCCCUGGACUGUACGAUAACGCUUGCUGCAAAACAGACCUACCAUUAUCUUUGGCAAUGACUUGAAGAAAAGGAAAACCUUGUAAAAAUAUUUGCUUUUUGUUGCAGCCCAGGCCAAUUUGUCUUGGUCUGGAAAAUGUUUGAUAUUUGUUUGAGCACAGACCAUGUCAUCUUUUUAGCUUUUUCUUGGUCACUAUCAAGGUUGAUGAGGUAGCAUAGCAGAUAUGUUGUGGCUUUUCAUAUGAAAGACAGGUUCAAUUCCACACAAAUGGACAAUGCAUAAAACUUUAUCUUGAUGGCAAUCAGUUUGGAAUAAAGUCAAACGCUGCUAGUUUGAAUUCCAGUGAACCAGAGAAAUGGUUUGACUUAUUGAGGGUUCUUAUUGUCAUAGAAUCAGCUUCUCUGUUGAAGAUGUUGCAUUAAAUGUGUCAUGUUUCACUUUAUACAAAAUCUAAACUGUGUUAAGCUGACUGUGUUAAAACAAUGAUCUUAACUUAUCAGGCUUACAACCUUUAUAGCGCUACUAUCCAUGUGUAGAAUGAGAUCCUUAACAAGAGGUCAUUGUCCAAGAAAAUCCAGAUGUUAUGAGUCAUUUAGCACACUGAAAUUAACCAAUGAAAUUCCUGUGUUUGUCAUCCAUGGUGUGUAUCCUUGAGGAGAGAGACAUGCAUCCAGGUCCAGGGUUAUUGUGUUUGUUUUGAACAUGUUACAGUUGACUCCAGGUUGAUCUGUUCCAUAUGGUGAGCUGUAUGUCCAGGCUGACCAAGUUAUGUUUGUGAAUUUGAUAAAAGGAUACUUGUGUGUAUUGUGUAGUAUUUAUGUGAAAAAUGGCAUUUGAACAAAUUGAUACAAUCAUUACCUCAAAAUAUAGGUUUGAAUGUUUUGAUAGAGGGAAUCUUUUAAAUACAAGAAGUGUUGAAUAGUGGAGUUUAUAUAGAGUCUUAAGAACUUUGAAACUUUGUAAGAUGUAAUUGUUGCUACAUGGAUUACAUUUUGACGAAGUUGUCAUUUUGUUGUCAUUCAAAGAACAAAUUUUGGGGAGUAGAUUUGUCAAAACCCUUUUAUGUGCUUUUAAGUGAUUUCCAAAGAUCAUUAAAUAUCAUCUAAUAAUAGAAAUUAAAUCUUUAAAUGCUUCCUGAACCUAUUCUGUGAACUGUAUAUUUCAACUCUUGAGAUUGGCAUUACUUGAAACAAAACAACAUUCAUUAAUUUUUUUUAUAAAUUUCGAACUUCUUGAAAAGUUGUUAGGAAAGUGUUACAAUUUGUUUUACUCAGAUUGGAAACAUGCUGGAGAUGAAGCUGAUGAUUUUAAUAUUGUGGAACUACUGCAAAUACAGUCAGGUGCCAUUUACAUUGGACACGUUCCAACAAACGAUACUGACAGCCUUUUAAUAAGUUGUGGUCUCAUACCAUGACCCAUGUGUGAGUGAUUGUAUCAUAUUCUUUUCUAAUAUUAGUUUGUAUAUUUUGUACAAAGAAAUGCAUUAGAUGUACAUUAUGAUUUGAACAGUGCUCUAUAUGAUAUGCUUCAAGUAUGUAUUUGUUUAUAUGUAUUUUACUGAUUUUGUCCUGUUGUGAGGAAGGAAGAAACAAAUUGUAUUCUGAGACAAAGGUUUUAAUCUACUUAUAAGACCCUCUUUCAGUGUCUGAACAGCUAGAAUUAUCUGCAUUUGCAGAGUGUUCUCAUGAAUGUUUUUAUUACAUUGUUGCUUGGAGAAUAUAUGCUGCAUUUUAAGUAACACCAAA